GCAUUACAGCUAGGCUGGGGGUUCCGGAAAGCUUUCAGCUUUGAGCCAGUUAUUAAAACCCCUUUUGAUUUGCCUAGAUUCUACGUCAGUACUUCAAAAAGCAUAAUCAAAG
rnacentral:misc_RNA from 1 species